UUCCGUAUUUUACAACAUUUCGCAACCAAACUUUGCAAUAAUUUACUUAUUUUAGUAUGCUCUUUCUAGCUGUGGUGAUUUAUCUGCAUCAAGGCCGGAUUUUGAGGGGAGGUGUGGAGAGGUGCGCACCUCCCCUGAGAUCGUUUUGCACCUCCCCUGAGAAUUUUUGCACCUCUCCUGAAAGGUCAUGCACCUCCCCUUGGGAAUUAGUUUCAAU